UACGUAGGGGGCUAGCGUUGUCCGGAAUCAUUGGGCGUAAAGCGCGUGUAGGCGGCCCGAUUAGUCCGCUGUGAAAGUCCAGGGCUCAACCCUGGGAUGCCGGUGGAUACUGUCGGGCUCGAGUCCGGAAGAGGCGAGUGGAAUUCCUGGUGUAGCGGUGAAAUGCGCAGAUAUCAGGAGGAACACCAAUGGCGAAGGCAGCUCGCUGGGACGUGACUGACGCUGAGACGCGAAAGCGUGGGGAGCAAACAGG
rnacentral:rRNA from 1 species